UGCAAGAAGUUCGCGAUCAUACGGGGAGU
rnacentral:sRNA from 1 species